AAAUUGAAGAGUUUGAUCAUGGCUCAGAUUGAACGCUGGCGGCAGGCCUAACACAUGCAAGUCGAACGGUAGCACAGAGAGCUUGCUCUCGGGUGACGAGUGGCGGACGGGUGAGUAAUGUCUGGGAAACUGCCUGAUGGAGGGGGAUAACUACUGGAAACGGUGGCUAAUACCGCAUAACGUCGCAAGACCAAAGAGGGGGACCUUCGGGCCUCUUGCCAUCAGAUGUGCCCAGAUGGGAUUAGCUUGUUGGUGAGGUAACGGCUCACCAAGGCGACGAUCCCUAGCUGGUCUGAGAGGAUGACCAGCCACACUGGAACUGAGACACGGUCCAGACUCCUACGGGAGGCAGCAGUGGGGAAUAUUGCACAAUGGGCGCAAGCCUGAUGCAGCCAUGCCGCGUGUAUGAAGAAGGCCUUCGGGUUGUAAAGUACUUUCAGCGGGGAGGAAGGUGUUGCGGUUAAUAACCGCAGCAAUUGACGUUACCCGCAGAAGAAGCACCGGCUAACUCCGUGCCAGCAGCCGCGGUAAUACGGAGGGUGCAAGCGUUAAUCGGAAUUACUGGGCGUAAAGCGCACGCAGGCGGUCUGUCAAGUCGGAUGUGAAAUCCCCGGGCUCAACCUGGGAACUGCAUUCGAAACUGGCAGGCUUGAGUCUUGUAGAGGGGGGUAGAAUUCCAGGUGUAGCGGUGAAAUGCGUAGAGAUCUGGAGGAAUACCGGUGGCGAAGGCGGCCCCCUGGACAAAGACUGACGCUCAGGUGCGAAAGCGUGGGGAGCAAACAGGAUUAGAUACCCUGGUAGUCCACGCCGUAAACGAUGUCUACUUGGAGGUUGUGCCCUUGAGGCGUGGCUUCCGGAGCUAACGCGUUAAGUAGACCGCCUGGGGAGUACGGCCGCAAGGUUAAAACUCAAAUGAAUUGACGGGGGCCCGCACAAGCGGUGGAGCAUGUGGUUUAAUUCGAUGCAACGCGAAGAACCUUACCUGGUCUUGACAUCCACAGAACUUUCCAGAGAUGGAUUGGUGCCUUCGGGAACUGUGAGACAGGUGCUGCAUGGCUGUCGUCAGCUCGUGUUGUGAAAUGUUGGGUUAAGUCCCGCAACGAGCGCAACCCUUAUCCUUUGUUGCCAGCGGUUAGGCCGGGAACUCAAAGGAGACUGCCAGUGAUAAACUGGAGGAAGGUGGGGAUGACGUCAAGUCAUCAUGGCCCUUACGACCAGGGCUACACACGUGCUACAAUGGCGCAUACAAAGAGAAGCGACCUCGCGAGAGCAAGCGGACCUCAUAAAGUGCGUCGUAGUCCGGAUUGAGUCUGCAACUCGACUCCAUGAAGUCGGAAUCGCUAGUAAUCGUGGAUCAGAAUGCCACGGUGAAUACGUUCCCGGGCCUUGUACACACCGCCCGUCACACCAUGGGAGUGGGUUGCAAAAGAAGUAGGUAGCUUAACCUUCGGGAGGGCGCUUACCACUUUGUGAUUCAUGACUGGGGUGAAGUCGUAACAAGGUAACCGUAGGGGAACCUGCGGUUGGAUCACCUCCUUA
rnacentral:rRNA from 1 species